rnacentral:misc_RNA from 1 species
GGAGAUUCAUAGGGAUUGGAGCAAGGAUGAUUAACAUAUAAACUUCCUGUUUAGAGUCUACAUCCCUGAUCAGGCACAAAAAAAAAAUUUAUGAGCAAUUAUAAUAUGGUCUUUCCUUCGUUGUAUUGGGCUGUUAUGUUUUUACCAUGGGAAUAAAAUACAGACAUCAUUUUCAGAUGCUUUUUAACCCCUAAAUUCUCCUGUUGAACUCAUUUUAGCUCAAAUCUAGAUUUUUCCAUUCCUGUAUUAAGAAUAAAAAGAAGGGUUAUUUUUUUGAGGAUCUCUCCAAGCCUUUUUGGUGUUUUGGCAUUAAUGGUACAUCUAUAUAGUUGAAUGUUGUGAACCAUUCUGAUCAUUUUAGCAGACUAUAUUUGGUUUGGAAGGAGCAUUAGAAUUUAGCACUACUCUGAAAAGAAGUGUUUUGUGGUCAGAAAUGGCAUAUGAAGCCUGUUAGACAGGUGGGUAUUUCAAGUCUUCUUUUGAAGAAAAACUAAAAAGAAGCUCAAGUUCAAUUCUGUUUAAAUGAAGAAACAUGGAAGAUUUUGUUUGGGGAGGAUUGGGCUACACACAAACAGGUGAGACCCACUCACCUGAUGGGAUACACAGGUGGAGUCCACCUGUUUGUAUGUGUGGCCAGGCACACAGAAGAACUUCUCUUUUUUGUUUAGCAAACCAUGAAUCCUGAUGAUGAUUAGAUGAAAGUCCUCAAGAUUCCAUGCGCAAGCUGGCUCAUUUCAUUUGGAUCUGAUUAUAACCUUUGGACUGUGGCACUGAAUCCCUUAAUGGCCGCCAAUAACAGCUGCAUAAAUCAACAUAUGAAGAAGCCAACUGGGUCAUGGUAAUUGUAAAAGAAUCCUAUUUUUCCCAGAGUCUCAUCUCAGCUGGCAAGAUUAUUUGCCAUGAAUUGGACUAUAUUCAGAUGAAGCUUCACUGGUUUUGUUCUAGAGUAGUUACAGUAACAUUAGUGGAUGUACCAGGGUUGGUCUUUUUAUUGAUAUUUCUAUAAAGAAAGUAUCAACCCUUCAUUUAUUCUUUUUCCAUAAUAAG